AGUGAGCGCUGGCGGUAGGCCUAACACAUGCAAGUCGAACGGCAGCACAGUAAGAGCUUGCUCUUACGGGUGGCGCGUGGCGGACGGGUGAGGAAUACAUCGGAAUCUACUUUUUCGUGGGGGAUAACGUAGGGAAACUUACGCUAAUACCGCAUACGACCUACGGGUGAAAGCAGGGGAUCUUCGGACCUUGCGCGAUUGAAUGAGCCGAUGUCGGAUUAGCUAGAUGGCGGGGUAAAGGCCCACCAAGGCUACGAUCCGUAGCUCGUCUGAGAGGGUGAACAGCUACACUGGAACUGAGACACGGUCCAGACUCCGACGGGAGGCAGCAGUGGGGAAUAUUGGACGAUGGGCGCAAGGCUGAUCCAGGCAUACCGCGUGAGUGAAGAAGGACUUCUGGUUGUAAAGCCCUUUUGUUGGUAAAGAAAAGCAGCAGGUUAAUACCCCGCUGUUCUGACGGUACCCAAAGAAGAAGCACCGGCUAACUUCGUG
rnacentral:rRNA from 1 species